GGACCCGUGGCCAAAUUGGAUAAGGCGCGAAGCUACGGACUUCGAGAUUAUAGGUUCGACUCCUAUCGGGUCCGCCA
rnacentral:tRNA from 1 species